rnacentral:tRNA from 1 species
AUUUAAAUAGCUUAAAUUUGAAGAGCAUAAUAUUGAAGAUAUUAAGGUAACAUUUAUGUUUUUAAAUA